UACGGGGGGGGCAAGCGUUGUUCGGAAUUACUGGGCGUAAAGGGCUCGUAGGUGGCCAACUAAGUCGGACGUGAAAUCCCUCAGCUUAACUGGGGAACUGCGUCUGAUACUGGAUGGCUUGAGUUUGGGAGAGGGAUGCGGAAUUCCAGGUGUAGCGGUGAAAUGCGUAGAUAUCUGGAGGAACACCGGUGGCGAAGGCGGCAUCCUGGACCGGCAUUGACGCUGAGGAGCGAAAGCCAGGGGAGCAAACGGG
rnacentral:rRNA from 1 species